AGUGGAAUUGCUGGGUCAUAUGGUAACUCUGUGUUUAACCUUUUGAGGAACUGCCAAGCUGCUUUCCAAAGUGGCUGUACCAUUUUACAUUCUUUCCAGCAGU
rnacentral:pre_miRNA from 1 species